ACUAUAUUAUUUACUAGUUUUGACAUUAAGACUUAUGAAGUCAUAUUUCUUUAUAUUCAGAUUCCAGUAUGUGAAGUAUAAGAGUAUACAGUAACUUUAUAGAGGAGCACUGCUCAGCCCUUGUAUUAUAUACACGGGUGUUUAUUUGAGAUUACUAUAAUAAACCAAUAGAACCUUA